UGGGGAAUCUUCGACAAUGGGGGAAACCCUGAUCUAGCGAUGCCGCGUGAGUGACGAAGGCCCUAGGGUCGUAAAGCUCUUUCAACUGUGAAGAUAAUGACGGUAGCAGUAGAAGAAACCCCGGCUAACUCCGUGCCAGCAGCCGCGGUAAUACGGAGGGGGUUAGCGUUGUUCGGAAUUACUGGGCGUAAAGCGCGCGUAGGCGGACUAUUAAGUCGAGGGUGAAAUCCCGGGGCUCAACCCCGGAACUGCCUUCGAUACUGGUAGUCUAGAGUUCGAGAGAGGUGAGUGGAAUUCCGAGUGUAGAGGUGAAAUUCGUAGAUAUUCGGAGGAACACCAGUGGCGAAGGCGGCUCACUGGCUCGAUACUGACGCUGAGGUGCGAAAGUGUGGGGAGCAAACAGGAUUAGAUACCCCCGUAGUCC
rnacentral:rRNA from 1 species